rnacentral:rRNA from 1 species
GGAUUGACGGACUGAAGGCUCUUUCUCGAUUCCGUGGAAAGUGGUGCAUGGCCGUUUUUGGUUGGUGGAUCGAUCCGUCUGGUUAAUUCCGUUAACGAACGAGACCUCGGCACUCCGAAUAGCGCGGCGGACGUCGCGGCCUCCGGGGCCGUCUUCCGCACGAGCUUCUUAGGAGGGACCCGUCCCCCGCCGGGGAAGGAGGUGCGAGGCAACGACAGGUCUGUGAUGCCCUUAGAUGUUCUGGGCCGCACGCGCAUUACACUGACGCGUCCAACGGGUGACUCCCGACCCGAAGGGGCCGGGGAAUCCGCAAGGCGCGUCGUGAUGGGGAUUGAACGUUGCAAUUGUUGUUCACGAACGAGGAAUUCCUAGUAGGCGCGGGUCAUCAACCCGCGCCGAUUACGUCCCUG